GCCAGUGUAGCAUAGUGGUUUGAGUGUUGGACUGCAACUCCGAACAACAGGGUUCGAUUCCCCACUUGGCCA